UUGAAAGUGAAUUCGUGUUUAUUUGCAAAGUCAAAUGCUUUGCUGUUUGGUACCAUCCAGAAAUCUACAUUAUACUGCUUUGUCUUUUAUUAGCUAAUUUACCAGUCGUGGAAGAGUAUGUGAAUUCAUUUGAAUGCAAAUAUGGUUCUAACUGGAGCAUGUGCAAGUCAGAUCACAGAUGGCUAUUGCCAACACAAUCCGCAGGGGAAAACACUACACCUCUUUUUCUACAGGAGUUUGGUAAUGGCCGGGUGAUGAAGAAGCAAGUCUACACAGUGGUCUAAAGAGUGCAGCUGGGCUGGGGAGCGGCCCAGGAGAGGCCCAGGCUUCACGGGCCUGGCAGGGUGGCCGCAGGCGAAGGCGGACCCUCCUCAGCGCUCUCCGCCGCGGCCCCGGUGGGAGACGGAAGCUUCCGGAAUACUCGGUGUUCGAGGGAGCGCUCGUGCGUGGUCAGGGGCUCAUUCCCCAGGUAACUCCAGCUGGCGUGCGGUGAGCGUUCAGACACAAGAUGGCCGCCGUGCGUCACCUAGACAUCUCAUUAAACGCGGAAACGGCAGCUGCAGUGUGAGGCAGUGAAAGUCAGCAGCUCUCCAUCCCAAGCGGAUCAGUUCCACACGGACACUUCAUUUCAUUCAGCUUGAGUAACGUGAAGAACUCUGGAGUAAACUGAACUGCAUGAUGGGGUACAUGGGUUUCUGGAUCCAGAACACUGAAGAACACAGUCUGAGUGACCUGAGGGGAGGUCCAGUGAGAACAGGUUUCUUUUUGCAAGGAAGACAUAG